ACGGGUGUAGCUCAAUUGGCAGAGCACCGGAUUCCAAAUCCGGCGGUUGGGGGUUCGACUCCCUCCGCCCGUG
rnacentral:tRNA from 2 species